rnacentral:rRNA from 1 species
AUGGCCGCGGUACCCUGACCGUGCAAAGGUAGCAUAAUCACUUGCCCCUUAAUUAGGGGCUGGCAUGAAAGGACACACGAAAGCUUCCCUGUCUCACAAUAACAAAUAAAAAUUAAUCUUCAAGUGAAAAAGCUUGAAUAAAAUUGCAGGACAAGAAGACCCCGUUGAGCUUUAUUCUCUAUAGACUAAAUCAAAUAUUAAAUACAUCAUAAACCUAAAAAGAAUUUAGUUGGGGUGACUAAGGAACACCGAAAACUUCCUUUUAUUAAUUAGGAUCAUUCUCCAUACAAAUUGACCCAUUACACAUGAUCAAAAAAAUAAGCUACCACAGGGAUAACAGGCUAAUCUUUCUCAAGAGCCCAAAUUGUCAGAAAGGAUUGGCACCUCGAUGUUGGCUUAGGGGCCCCUAAUGGUGCAGAAGCCAUAAAUGGUAGGUUUGUUCAACCUUUAAAACCCUACGUGAUCUGAGUUCA